rnacentral:rRNA from 1 species
CAUGCAAGUUGAGCGGAGUUAGAUGGAGCUUGCUCUAUGUACCUUAGCAGCGAACGGGUGAGUAACACGUAGAUAAUCUGUCCUAUAUUGGGGGAUAGCCCGAUGAAAGUUGGAUUAAUACCGCAUACAGCUAUAUAGUUGCAUGAUUAUAUAGUGAAAGAUUUAUUGAUAUAGGAGGAGUCUGCGGCACAUUAGCUAGUAGGUGAGGUAAGAGCUUACCUAGGCGACGAUGUGUAGCCGGUCUGAGAGGAUGAACGGCCACAAUGGAACUGAGACACGGUCCAUACUCCUACGGGAGGCAGCAGUGGGGAAUAUUGCACAAUGGGGGAAACCCUGAUGCAGCAACGCCGCGUGAGUGAAGAAGGUUUUCGGAUUGUAAAGCUCUGUUAGACAGGGAAGAGGAAGGACGGUACCUGCAGAGGAAGCCACGGCUAACUACGUGCCAGCAGCCGCGGUAAUACGUAGGUGGCAAGCGUUAUCCGGAUUUAUUGGGCGUAAAGGGAACGCAGGCGGUCUUUUAAGUCUGAUGUGAAAGCCUUCGGCUUAACCGGAGUAGUGCAUUGGAAACUGGGAGACUUGAGUGCAGAAGAGGAGAGUGGAACUCCAUGUGUAGCGGUGAAAUGCGUAGAUAUAUGGAAGAACACCAGUGGCGAAAGCGGCUCUCUGGUCUGUAACUG